ACGGGAGGCAGCAGUGGGGAAUAUUGCACAAUGGGGGAAACCCUGAUGCAGCGACGCCGCGUGAGUGAAGAAGUAUUUCGGUAUGUAAAGCUCUAUCAGCAGGGAAGAUAAUGACGGUACUUGACUAAGAAGCUCCGGCUAAAUACGUGCCAGCAGCCGCGGUAAUACGUACGGAGCAAGCGUUAUCCGGAUUUACUGGGUGUAAAGGGAGCGUAGACGGCAAAGCAAGUCUGAAGUGAAAUCCCGGGGCUCAACCCCGGAACUGCUUUGGAAACUGUUUAGCUAGAGUGCAGGAGAGGUAAGCGGAAUUCCUAGUGUAGCGGUGAAAUGCGUAGAUAUUAGGAGGAACACCAGUGGCGAAGGCGGCUUACUGGACUGUAACUGACGUUGAGGCUCGAAAGCGUGGGGAGCAAACAGGAUUAGAUACCCUGGUA
rnacentral:rRNA from 1 species